rnacentral:snRNA from 1 species
GCCUAUGGCAUAUAAAAAUUAAGAACGAUACAGAGAAGAUUAGCAUGGCCCCUGGCGCAAGGAUGACUCGAGAAGCAUUUCUCCUUUUU